rnacentral:rRNA from 1 species
AGCGAACGCUGGCGGCAGGCCUAACACAUGCAAGUCGAGCGCUCGUAGCAAUACGAGAGCGGCAGACGGGAGAGUAACACGUGGGAACGUACCCUUUGGUUCGGAACAACCCAGGGAAACUUGGGCUAAUACCGGAUAAGCCCUUACGGGGAAAGAUUUAUCGCCGAAGGAUCGGCCCGCGUCUGAUUAGCUAGUUGGGUGGGGUAACGGCCCGACCAAGGCGACGAUCAGUAGCUGGUCUGAGAGGAUGAUCAGCCUCACUGGGACUGAGACACGGCCCAGACUCCUACGGGAGGCAGCAGUGGGGAAUAUUGGACAAUGGGCGCAAGCCUGAUCCAGCCAUGCCGCGUGGGUGAUGAAGGCCCUAGGGUUGUAAAGCCCUUUCGGCGGGGAAGAUAAUGACGGUACCCGCAGAAGAAGCCCCGGUCUAACUUCGUGCCAGCCGCCGCAGUAAG